rnacentral:lncRNA from 1 species
GUCCUCACUCAGCAACCUGCAUAGCAAUAGAAGGCAGCACUCAGCUGGGAAGAUACCCCAUUUUCCCCAGAUUCUUCUAACUGGCCUUCACUCAUCCCAGUGUGCUCAGAUGAACAUUUGGACCUGCUAAGCAAUGUCAUUUACUACUGUCCUGUGCACAGGUUACUUGAUCUCUCUAGCCUUCAAUUUCUUCUGUUCAGCAGACAGACUGGAUCCGGAAUUGACUACGAGGCACUCCAGAAAAUAAUUCUUGGUCAGAUUAUUUAAAGUAGGGAAACCUAGCCUAAGUAUGAUGCCCAGAUAAAGGGGAUAGAAGAAGAAAGCAUUUUUCUUUUUGCCUGCUUGCCUUCACUCUUGCUGGCAAGUUCACCUACAUUGUUGUUGACACAUUCCUUCACUGAUAUUAGGACUCAGCUUUGGACUUUCACCAUGGACUGAAGGCCAGUGUUUCUCCAGGAUCUUCUGGGUCUUCAGUGCCAGAUUGGAACUUCUGAGGAAUCCAGCUAGUGGGAUGAGCAACUACCAGGUUGUUCUCUGGUGUGAGACAACCAUUGUUGGACUGCACAGACCAUAUCAGGCACAUGGACAUUCACAUGGUGUGAGGGAGUCUUGGCCAGGAGGAACCCAAGGAUUUCCAGACUAUUUACAAAAUAAACAAGCUGGCCACAAGGUGAAUGACCCAGAAAGUAACAACUACUGCCAACCCGAGUGGACAAUGACCACCAGGACCGGCUUCUUCCAUCUACUCUCUGGGGGGCUGGAAGGAUGGGUUCUUGGCACACUGCAGAACCCGCUAUCUAUUCCACCAAGCACCCAUCUGCAAAGCUGAGACUACAGGGUUCCUUCAGGAUCACUGAGAAGCUAUUUCCCUGAGAGAAGGGCCUCCACAGGGCAUGAGUUACUCUCUUCUGAUGGCUUCUGGACUAUCACUCCUUCCUCGGGCCUCUGGCUGGGUUGGAUCAUGUCCUCCCAAAAAAUGUUGAAGUCUCACCCACUGGGAUUGUAUUAGGGGGCCAAUGCACAUGUAAUUAGUAAAGUUGAGGUGAGGCCCCAAAGUCCGUGAGAGCUGUGACCCUAUAAGAGGAGUGACUCGGAGCUAGAGAGAUAGCUCAGUCAGUAAAAUUCCUGCCACACAAGCACCAUGUGAGGAAACCAGAAGCAGCAGCACACACUUGAAUUUCAGCACUGGAGAGGUAGAGACAGGCAGAUCCUGGAGCUUGCUGGACAGCCAUCCUAGCUGAAGCAGCAAGCUCCAAGAUCCCUGCCUCAAUAAGCAAACAAACAAAGUUGAUGGCACUUGAGGAUGACACCUAAUGUUAACAUCUGAUACACACAAACACGUGUACACAUGUGCACACAUGUGCACCCAGACCUACAUAUACACACACACACAUGUAUC